AGUGCCAAAACUGGUUGGUUUCUCUGAAGAGACAGUUUCCUUAAUGCUGUGAAUAUGUGCCAAAUGUCUGAGAAGAAUUUUUUACGAAUACCUAUACCUCAAGCAUGCACAGAUGCUCAUGCUAUGGAGCUGACCAGGGAGUUCUUGUCCCUUAAACAUCCACAGUUGUGUGGGAGAAAAAGAAAGCAGAUAUGGAAGAUCAUUACUGAACAGAAGAAAGAGGAACUGGAAUUUAUGGAGCAUCUGUUCCAGGCAUGUAAGGUAUUUCCUGAUACCUUUCCUACAUUCAUCUUGUUCUUAUAGCAACCCUGUGAAACAGGUACAAUCCCUACUCUGCACAUAAAAACUGGGUUCCGGCAUGAUUCAUCUCUUCUUUCUCUGUACCAGGCAUCAGGACACUGGGCUAGAAGUUCAGGGUCACAGGGUAUGGUCAGGGAGGGAUCUGAGGUCAGAUUCUUUGGGCUCAUGCCUUUCCAACGACAUCAUAAACAGGGCUUGGCCCCUGUUAUUGAGGUGUGUAGUUACCGAUGCCCGUGCUCACAGAGCUUGCCAAGUUUCUGGUGCCUGGUUUUCCAUCCCCAUGGCAGUCUCAGUUUAUGACUACCUGCCCACCCAGACUAUGGAGUCCUAUAUUACUCUGCCUGUGGCUGUCUGCAGUCUCCUGAUUCCUGACUGCUCACGGGUUUAACCUGUUUCCUCUUUGGUUUGUGCCCAGCUCCAGGCUACUUAUGCUCCAGCAUCCCAUCUCCACUCUGUCCUCCCCAAGACCUGAUCAGCCAAACACCACCCGGGUAGAACCCAAUUUAUUCCUGUUUCCAAGCACCUAUAACAUUGUUCUCCAAUCCAAGGCCUGCUGGUCCUUCUUAUACCACCUCCCC